UAUUACAAUGAAGAGUUUGAUCCUGGCUCAGGAUGAACGCUAGCUACAGGCUUAACACAUGCAAGUCGAGGGGCAGCAUGGUCUUAGCUUGCUAAGGCCGAUGGCGACCGGCGCACGGGUGAGUAACACGUAUCCAACCUGCCGUCUACUCUUGGACAGCCUUCUGAAAGGAAGAUUAAUACAAGAUGGCAUCAUGAGUCCGCAUGUUCACAUGAUUAAAGGUAUUCCGGUAGACGAUGGGGAUGCGUUCCAUUAGAUAGUAGGCGGGGUAACGGCCCACCUAGUCUUCGAUGGAUAGGGGUUCUGAGAGGAAGGUCCCCCACAUUGGAACUGAGACACGGUCCAAACUCCUACGGGAGGCAGCAGUGAGGAAUAUUGGUCAAUGGGCGAGAGCCUGAACCAGCCAAGUAGCGUGAAGGAUGACUGCCCUAUGGGUUGUAAACUUCUUUUAUAAAGGAAUAAAGUCGGGUAUGCAUACCCGUUUGCAUGUACUUUAUGAAUAAGGAUCGGCUAACUCCGUGCCAGCAGCCGCGGUAAUACGGAGGAUCCGAGCGUUAUCCGGAUUUAUUGGGUUUAAAGGGAGCGUAGAUGGAUGUUUAAGUCAGUUGUGAAAGUUUGCGGCUCAACCGUAAAAUUGCAGUUGAUACUGGAUAUCUUGAGUGCAGUUGAGGCAGGCGGAAUUCGUGGUGUAGCGGUGAAAUGCUUAGAUAUCACGAAGAACUCCGAUUGCGAAGGCAGCCUGCUAAGCUGCAACUGACAUUGAGGCUCGAAAGUGUGGGUAUCAAACAGGAUUAGAUACCCUGGUAGUCCACACGGUAAACGAUGAAUACUCGCUGUUUGCGAUAUACAGCAAGCGGCCAAGCGAAAGCGUUAAGUAUUCCACCUGGGGAGUACGCCGGCAACGGUGAAACUCAAAGGAAUUGACGGGGGCCCGCACAAGCGGAGGAACAUGUGGUUUAAUUCGAUGAUACGCGAGGAACCUUACCCGGGCUUAAAUUGCAGAUGAAUUACGGUGAAAGCCGUAAGCCGCAAGGCAUCUGUGAAGGUGCUGCAUGGUUGUCGUCAGCUCGUGCCGUGAGGUGUCGGCUUAAGUGCCAUAACGAGCGCAACCCUUGUUGUCAGUUACUAACAGGUUCCGCUGAGGACUCUGACAAGACUGCCAUCGUAAGAUGUGAGGAAGGUGGGGAUGACGUCAAAUCAGCACGGCCCUUACGUCCGGGGCUACACACGUGUUACAAUGGGGGGUACAGAGGGCCGCUACCACGCGAGUGGAUGCCAAUCCCAAAAACCUCUCUCAGUUCGGACUGGAGUCUGCAACCCGACUCCACGAAGCUGGAUUCGCUAGUAAUCGCGCAUCAGCCACGGCGCGGUGAAUACGUUCCCGGGCCUUGUACACACCGCCCGUCAAGCCAUGGGAGCCGGGGGUACCUGAAGUGCGUAACCGCGAGGAGCGCCCUAGGGUAAAACUGGUGACUGGGGCUAAGUCGUAACAAGGUAGCCGUACCGGAAGGUGCGGCUGGAACACCUCCUUUCU
rnacentral:rRNA from 2 species